CGUGAAGGGACCAUGUUUUAUAAGUCUCACAGAAGUCUGCUGAACCACUUGGAAUUCAUACACAGGUUUUCACAAGGGUUGCGAAUGAGGCAGUUUGAUUUCAUGGAGGAUGGCAUUGCAUCAAGCAGCAGAACCCUGUCUAGAAUGGCUUCAACACUCAGAAAAGUAUGCAGGCGUGCAAUUAACAAACGUCGCAACCAAGGCCAAAUGGAAGUUGGGGGUCCCCAUUGCUUCGUAUUGCUGGAUGAGAGCAAAUUUACACACAAAAGAAAAGUAAGUGCCCUUUCCAUUCAAUAUUACAUUAAUUGCUGCAUGGUUUCAACAACUACGUUCACCAUCUUGAAAUUCACUUUCAGUUAGUGAGGCUGAUUGUAUUCAGAAAAUGGUGAGAACUUACUAUAUCUUCCAUGAUUUUCUGUAGUACAACCGUGGCAGAAUUGGACCAGCUUGGCGUCGAACCAAGAAAUGGGUCCUUGGUAUACUGGAGGUUUGGCAGUCAUCAAGAAAGCCAAUUCUGAAAAUUGUCAGAGGGCGCUCCAGGAAUGACCUUUUACCUACCAUACUUCGUCACGUGAGGAGGGGCACAAGCAUUGUGACAGAUGAAUGGCGCGCAUACAGCAGA
ensembl:lncRNA